rnacentral:rRNA from 1 species
UUAACACAUGCAAGUCGAGCGGAAACGAUGAUAGCUUGCUAUCAGGCGUCGAGCGGCGGACGGGUGAGUAAUACUUAGGAAUCUACCUAGUAGUGGGGGAUAGCACGGGGAAACUCGUAUUAAUACCGCAUACGACCUACGGGAGAAAGGGGGCAGUUUACUGCUCUCGCUAUUAGAUGAGCCUAAGUCGGAUUAGCUAGAUGGUGGGGUAAAGGCCUACCAUGGCGACGAUCUGUAGCUGGUCUGAGAGGAUGAUCAGCCACACCGGGACUGAGACACGGCCCGGACUCCUACGGGAGGCAGCAGUGGGGAAUAUUGGACAAUGGGGGAAACCCUGAUCCAGCCAUGCCGCGUGUGUGAAGAAGGCCUUUUGGUUGUAAAGCACUUUAAGCAGUGAAGAAGACUCYUYGGUUAAUACCCRURGACGAUGACAUUAGCUGCAGAAUAAGCACCGGCUAACUCUGUGCCAGCAGCCGCGGUAAUACAGAGGGUGCAAGCGUUAAUCGGAAUUACUGGGCGUAAAGGGAGCGUAGGUGGCUCUAUAAGUCAGAUGUGAAAUCCCCGGGCUCAACCUGGGAACUGCAUCUGAUACUGUUGAGCUAGAGUAUGUGAGAGGAAGGUAGAAUUCCAGGUGUAGCGGUGAAAUGCGUAGAGAUCUGGAGGAAUACCGAUGGCGAAGGCAGCCUUCUGGCAUAAUACUGACACUGAGGCUCGAAAGCGUGGGUAGCAAACAGGAUUAGAUACCCUGGUAGUCCACGCCGUAAACGAUGUCUACUAGUCGUUGGGUCCCUUGAGGACUUAGUGACGCAGCUAACGCAAUAAGUAGACCGCCUGGGGAGUACGGCCGCAAGGUUAAAACUCAAAUGAAUUGACGGGGGCCCGCACAAGCGGUGGAGCAUGUGGUUUAAUUCGAUGCAACGCGAAGAACCUUACCUGGUCUUGACAUAUCUAGAAUCCUGCAGAGAUGCGGGAGUGCCUUCGGGAAUUAGAAUACAGGUGCUGCAUGGCUGUCGUCAGCUCGUGUCGUGAGAUGUUGGGUUAAGUCCCGCAACGAGCGCAACCCUUGUCCUUAGUUACCAGCGGGUUAAGCCGGGAACUCUAAGGAUACUGCCAGUGACAAACUGGAGGAAGGCGGGGACGACGUCAAGUCAUCAUGGCCCUUACGACCAGGGCUACACACGUGCUACAAUGGUAGGUACAGAGGGCAGCUACACAGCGAUGUGAUGCGAAUCUCAAAAAGCCUAUCGUAGUCCAGAUUGGAGUCUGCAACUCGACUCCAUGAAGUAGGAAUCGCUAGUAAUCGCGGAUCAGAAUGCCGCGGUGAAUACGUUCCCGGGCCUUGUACACACCGCCCGUCACACCAUGGGAGUUGAUUGCACCAGAAGUGGAUAGCUUAACCUUCG